ACCUGCAACAUUUUAAAAUUUUACAUCACCAAAUUUGAAGCAAGUUUAAGUAUGGAACAGCUGUGCAUUAGAACACAAACAAAUGAACAAGAAGAUUAUAAGAUGUAGUCAAGUUCAUAACGAAUGUAGGUGUUUUUCUCAUCAUUGUAGAUUCGUGGAUAAUGUGCUAUCAAAGCAUCCUGAGAGCCAAUAUAGAUUGAAUUAUAAAUCUUCCAAUAAACAUCUCUGACUUUCCGGGCAGGGUGAAAUAAACCCUGGGGAAACAAAACA